rnacentral:rRNA from 1 species
UACGGAGGGUGCGAGCGUUGAUCGGAAUUACUGGGCGUAAAGCGCACGUAGGCGGUUUGGUAAGUCGGAUGUGAAAGCCCUGGGCUUAACCUAGGAAUUGCAUUCGAUACUGCCUGACUAGAGUAUGGUAGAGGGAAGUGGAAUUUCCGGUGUAGCGGUGAAAUGCGUAGAUAUCGGAAGGAACACCAGUGGCGAAGGCGACUUCCUGGGCCAAUACUGACGCUGAGGUGCGAAAGCGUGGGGAGCAAACAGG